rnacentral:sRNA from 1 species
CCCUAGCCCUGAUUGAAGCGGCAUCCCACGCUUUUUUUUGCGUGGAUACAGCGUAAAGCGGGAAAUAGC